UCCUCCAUUACGUAGAAAGUUUGAAGGUCAGUAUUCUGAAAGAAGAGUCUGAUGGAUGAAAUUUACACUUACAAUGCAAAAAUAUUAGUAACAGGAAUAUGUAUACUACUGCGCCCAUAUCACUAAAUGCAGUGCCAUGAGGCACUCUGUAAUUUCAGUCACAGCAGAUGUACGGGUGAGCUGUUUCAUUGCUGGGACAAAAUUCCUGACAUACACACCUUAAACAGGGAAUGAUUUAUUUGGCUUAAGGCUUCAGAGGUUUCAAUCCAUGGUAAAUUGGCUCCAAGGCAUACACACUGUGGUGGAAAGGCUCAGUGGGGCAAAGCUACUCUCCAUAGCAGCCAGAAAUAAAAGCAGGUUGGGAAGCGAGCCAUAGAGGAAGGGCUAGAAACCAGAUCUAUCCCCAAGGCCACACCCCAUGACCCACCCAGACACAGAGUGCCCUGUACUAAUCUGCGAGGCAGGUGUCUCUUAAUUGAGUUUAAUUUGACAAUCAGAAUUAUAGGUCAGAGAAAAGAAGCAAAGAAAAUUUAAAUACUUUUAACAGUCAGAGAACAAGUUAUCGGUACAUAGUCUAUGAUACACAUGCAACUUCAUCUUUUUCUCCUCCCCGCCCCUCUACAUGGUGUAUUCCCUGGGGGAGGUAGGCUUUACCCCCAUAUGGGUUGAAAAUUCCGGUGUAACUUCUACUCACUCUCAGGAAAGCUUAUCAUCACUCACCAACUAGACUGCUCAGUUUGCCGGUUACACUGCAUAGGAUCAAGCAGUUGUCAAAACUCCAAACUACAUUUAGAAUUGUCUCCCUCCCCCAGGUGAUUUCUCUAGGGCCUCCCUAACUGCAGCUGUCAAGGGAAAGGGAAAGCCGGGUCUUCUAGCCACUGUGCCGCUCCCCAGUUCCUGGUUCUCCAGUGGUUUAUGCAGCACAAAGUGCUCUCUCUUAGUGUGUUUGCUCCUCCUGGCUGUUCUCUCUCUCUGUGUCUUAGGUGGGUCCAGUUCAUGAGAAACAUGUAUAUUCUUUACUUGGUUCUUGAUGUCAGUGUUGCUACUUCUCAAAUUCAGCGCUCUCUCUCUCUCUCUCUCUCUCUCUCUCUCUCUCUCGUCUCUCUCCUCUGUUAGGUAGCCCUAGUCUCUUAAUCCUCAACCAUGAGCAAGAAAUUAAAUCCAAUGAUCCCAUAACUGCACAACAGGAAAGGGAUGAGAGACUGAGUUUGCCAAUUUGUCCCAUACACGUGGGCAAGCCCAGAUAAGGUCAGCAGACUUGAUCUGCCGACCUAGAAAUUUACUAUAUUUGUAUGCAUGAGAUCAACUUGGACCAGCUAAUCCCUAGCCAAUCUCGGACUUGUGAGGUGAAUAAAAUUCUUGUCUGGAGUGGUUGGUUAGCAGCAAUAGUUGACUGAUACAUCUGCUCUUUCUUGGCUUGGGACUGAAUCUCAUCACCUUGCAGGGAGAUGGAGUAAGACGCCCCAGCCCAUCGCGCCCCUCCCCAAGCACAUUUCUUCCUAAAUCCUCCCAUGCUUUUACAGCUUUCAAUCAUGUUAGAUCUUUCCAGUGAUUUUUGAGAAGUUUAACGGGUUCUGUGAUACCUAAUUUGGAAUUUGGACUUUCUCACUAUGGAAAUUUGGGUCUUACACAUGUAAAACUCCCAACUCAACAAGCUGUCACCUUUGCUGGUUAAGCUUAACCACUCGCUAAAUGCUUUCUUUCUCCUUCCUGCCAUUUUAACUGGUGGAGCUGGCACUUAUCAUAGAGCAGCCUCGGGACCCCGGACAACGCUACUCGUCUCUGGUGAUGGCAAGUGACUGUCCUUGCAGUGUCAGGGAUGACAGUGUCAGUGAGGAAGGUGGCUGAGAAUACAAAUGGUGUCUGUAGCAAACCUCCGCUGUAUCUCUUCCUGCCCCCGCACGGCCUCCCGAGGGACGCCUUUAGUUCUUCACGUACAACAUCUUAAAGUCUAGCUGCUCUUCUACUCCAAACUCACACAUCCAGCGGCCCAACAUCCCCAUGCAGGUGUGUCACAGGAUCUCAGCCUCAACAGGUAAGGAAAACAGUUCUCCAUCUCCCCAGAUGGUGCUCUUUCCUUAUCCUCCACAGACUGAUUCUGAAGCCCAGAUCUUAGGGAUCACCCUAAAUUCUCCCUUCUCCUGCUCAUUCAAUUGUUUAGAAAGACUUUAUUGCCAAUAUCUGUCUUGCACACUUUGUAAUGGUCACCAUCACUUCCUGUUACAGAUUAUUCUUGUGACACUUUGUUUCCUCCACAGAGCUAAGAAGCGAUCCUAUAACAAAGCUUGAAUCAUGACCUGAAUGACAUUCAGCAGCUAUUCAUAUUUUAAAAUAAAACUGAACCCUGUUGUCAUCUUUGACAUACAAGUCCCAAGUUAUGUGUCCUCUGCCUCUCUCUACAGAUCCACCCAGUACCACUAUUGUCCUUGCUUACUGCCCCUCAUCUCAAGCAGAUUGAGUUCUGUUCAUCUCAGGGCCUUUGCACAUGUUCUCCCUUCUGCCUGGAUGCAGUUCUCACCCCCCUUAUGAGUAAAUCCUACCUUGCAUGGCCCUGUUUUCAGCCCGGCCUUCCUGAUACCUGUACCCUAAGUAGCACCCUCCCUGCUUUUCUUUGUUGUGCUCUUGAACUGUGUAUGUAAGACUGCUUUUACAACUUGUGCUUUUAAUUAGUUAUAUCUGUGUUAAGGAUUCUACAUAUGUGGAUGCAACCAUCAGUCAAUGAUAUUUUGAAAAAUUAUUGCAUCUGUGCUUAACACGUACAGACUUUUUCUGGUCCUUAUUCUGUCAGCAAUACAGUAAAACAACUGUUGAGAACCCUAGAAAACAACAGUUUAGUGAAGAAAAAAAAUGAAGUAGAUUUCCAAGAACCAAGAAAGAGCUGACAGCAAAACUAGAAACUACAGAGAAGCUAAGAGGAAGUGAGCACAAUGCAGAGAAAUGAAUAAAGCAGUCUGGAGCUCUAACCCCGCCUCUGGGGAGGCAGACCUGUCUCUGCUAACACCAGGUAAACUCAGAGUGGGUCAGCAGCCCCAGAGAGAGACAAAGGA